rnacentral:snRNA from 1 species
UCAAUUGACUCCCAUGCGAC